AGCAUUCAGCAUUACUUCUUGGAGUUAAUUGUUUUAUAGAGCUAAUUAUGAAGGUUUUAAGACCUCUUUGCGUAGAUGUUGUUUUAUUUUUUAGAAUAAAUUUAUUCCUACACCUAUUUUCCAGAAAGACACUGGUAGAAUCAUUCUAAUAAUAAGAUGGAGUGGAAUGAAGGGGACACUAAUAGAAAAUGAAAGGCCAUGAAAUGUAAAUAUACGUCUUCCUUUCAGUGGGUGUAAUUUAUUAUUGACACACAGGACUUUUAGGACGACUGAAUGAUGAAAGAAGAGAAAUUCUCGAAAUGACUGAAAGAGAGUGGACAUUCCAGUGGUUUCUGAACCUUGAGGUGAUUCAGGAAGGGGAUGGACCAGUAAUCUCCAGAGAUGGCAGGGUCCUCACCAUCCCCACAGUCACACGCAAUGACUCCAGCACCUACCACUGUGAGGCCAGGAACCACCUGGGAUCCAGGCUCAGUGAAGCCCUCGUGGUUGGCGUGGCUUAUGGCCCGGAUACCCCCAUCAUGACCGCACUGGACCCAGAUUUUGUGAUUGGUUCCAACCUCACUCUGGUCUGCUUAGCCUACUCCCACCUCCUUGCCCAGUACACAUGGAGCUUCAGUGGGGUCACCACAUGGGAGGGCCAGACCCUCUUCAUGCCCAGUCUCUCCAGGGCACACUCAGGGGUCUACACCUGCAAGGCCUCCAACUCCCUUUCCGGCUUGCACAGCAGUAUGGACACCAUCAUCACUGUCUCAGAGACACUUCCUCAGCCCAAUGUCACAGCCAGUAACUUAGCCCCAGUGGAGCAUGUGGAUUCCAUCAGUCUGCAUUGCCUUCCUCCAAGGAGCACUGUGGCCAUCCGCCGGGAUGUCAAUGGCCAGAAGCUCUUCAUUGGUGGCCACAGGGAGCUGUCCCUGGACUGCAGAACACUGACUCUGUCGAACAUCACCAGGAAUGACACGGGGGUCUACCAGUGUGAGAGCUGGAACUCAGCCACCAGCAGCAUCAGCAACCCCACUCUCAUCAAAGUUACAUAUGGCCCAGACCCUCCUAUGGUCAACCCUCCAGACCCAGAGGUCACAGCUGGGGCAGCCCUCACCCUGUCCUGCUUUGCUGACUCAAACCCCCCUGCCCAGUACCACUGGGAGAUGGACAGAAGGCCAGGCCCUGCCACCCAGCACCUGGUCAUUUCUGAGGUCACUCUGGACCAGUAGGGCAGGUACACCUGUGAGGCCUCCAACAGCAUCACUCACCUCUGCAGCUCAGUCAAUGGGAAGAUCUGGAUCUCAGAGGUUCCUGGGGAUGAACUGCAGCCGGCCUUACUCAGGACCACUAUUCCUGCUGGAGGCAUCGCAGGGAUUGCCUCGAGUGUCCUGAUCAGCGUGGUGCUCACAGGGACUGCUGGCUACUGUGUUGGGGUCAUAAGGUCCCAGAAGGUGGGAUGAAGACAGCCUGCUAUUGGCUUAGCUGCAGAGGAAGACACCUUUUCCACUCGCCUCUUGGGACUUAACUCUUCUUUCCUUCUCUCCAGCCCAGGAAUCCUGUGGAGUUCAGCUCAGCAAGAGGCAUGGAGAUGUCAACUGCAUUGUGACCAGUCUUCAACACCCUGACCAGAGAUUUCAACUCCUCCCAAGGCCAAAAAGAGACACUGAGCCAGCUAUUUUAACAGAUUUGAGGUGAUCUUCAUUGAAAGGUAGAAGGUUGUAAUCACUCCCCAAUCUCUUUCCUUUUUUAAAACAAAAAUGCUUUAGACAGGGGAUUGCAUGAUGAUUAGGACUUACCUUGUAGCUUCACAGACCACCUCCACACGUUUACUCCACCAGUUAAGAAGUGUUGUCUGUGCGCGGUGGCUCACGCCUGUAAUCCCAGCACUUUGGGAGGCUGAGGCGGGCAGAUCACCUGAGGUUGGGAGUUUGAGGCCAGCCUGAUCAACAUGGAGAAAUCCCGUCUCUACUAAAAAUACAAAAUUAGCUGGGUGUGGUGGCACAUGCCUGUAAUCCCAGCUACUCGGGAGGCUGAGGCAGGGGAAUUGCUUGAACCCCGGAGGUGGAGGUUGCGGUGAGCCAAGAUGGCACCACUGCACUCUGGCCUGGGCAGCAAGAGCGAAACUCUGUCUCAAAAAAUUUAAAAAAAAAAAGAAGUGUUAUGAUGUAGAAUACCCUUUCUUAUGUUGCAUUCCUUCUUUGCAUAUUAUGUGUAACUCUCUAAGGGCUGUGGCUCAAGUAGCUCAGUCAGCUUUUGCAUUCAAAAAUUCACAGUUCAGACUAGGCACGGUUGCUCACACCUAUAAUCCCAGUGCUUUGGGAGGCUGAGAUGGGAGGAUUGCUUGAGGCCACAAGUUCGAGACCAGCAUGGGCAACAUAGAGAGACUCCCCUCUGAAACGCUACAAAAAAAAUUAGCUGGGUGCCGUGGCAUGUGUCUGUAAUCCCAGCUACUUGGGAGGCUGAGGAGUCUGUACAGAGUCCUUGGCAGCAUUAGCUAAUAUCCUCAUGUCAUCAGUUGAUCUCUAACAUCCUUCAGCUCCUGGGAGCCUCUCACUUUCCUACCACAGAACUCUGUCUGACCCUCAUCCAUGCUUCUUUGUCCCCACCAUCUCCCUUAAAUGGAAUUUUCAUGGCUGGCUUGAUAAUGCAAGAUUGGACACUCUUUUCUUCCUAGUAGUGAGACAAGAGCUAAGCACCUUACAAAAUUGUUAAUGCACGAUCUUGAGGUGAACUUAAAAGUAUCCUGCAGGUGGCUGGGCACGGUGGCUCACGCCUAUAAUCCCAGCACUUUGGGAGGCCAAGGUGGGUGGAUCACCUGAGGUCAGGAGUUCGAGACCAGCCUGGCCAACAUGGUGAAACCCCAUCUCUACUAAAAAUACAAAACAUUAGUCGGGUGUGGUCGUGGGUGCCUGUAAUUCCAGCUACUGAGGAGGCUGAGGCAGGAGAAUUACUCGAACCUGGGAGGUGGAGGUUGCAGUGACUUGAGAUCGUGCCACUGCACUCCAGCCUGGGUAACAGAGUGAAACUCCGUCUC